rnacentral:lncRNA from 1 species
ACCCUUGUGAGACUUUCGAGCCAUAUAUAUGUGCCUUUUCUUUGGAGAGUUUACUCUAUCUAUUCUUUGAUAUAUAUGACCUCAUUAUACAUUACUUGAUCAAUUUAUAUGCCAUAGAGAUUCAAUGAACUAGAGAUUGCUAGAACUUGCUUAUGAAACUUUCAAAACUUUUUAUCAUAACUUGCUUUGAUUUUGAAUAGGAUUGUGGAUCUUUCUUAGGACUAUCACCACUUUAUCCAAAUAGCCAUAUAUCCCUAUUUUGAGCCCUGUUUGGGACCCCUUUAGUCUGAACCCCCUAGAGCCUACGUUAUGCCUUUCUUGUUAACCUAAAUUAUCCCUUGCCUAGUAUAGAAUUCCUCUACCUUGUCUCGAGCUUGGCAGAGCUAUCUUUUUGUGGUGAUUUGAGGUGAUGAUUCAAUACAAGUGUAGGGUUGUUCUAAGGAGUUUAGUUGCCGAGAUACACAUGAGAAAAGAAAAAGAAAAAAAUUGCUCUCGGAAUGAAAAAAAAGAGUAUGAACCGAGAGAAAGUAAAAAAAAAAAAAAAAAGUUUCGAAUUGAUUUUAAAUGAAGAUGUCUCGGCCUAGAUGAAGUUUUUGUGAAUUUGGAGUUGUGAUUCGUUUGUUGAAGGCUCAAUAUGUUAUACUUUUAGCCUUUGUUCGUUUUCACAAUGUUUAAAGUGAAGGAUGGGUCCAACAUGAUGAUAUUUGGCCCUUGGUGUAUGGUGACAUAAGGUGGAUGUUCUUGCUCUGCUAAGUCUUGAGGAUGACCUUUGUGAUUCCUUUACUUUGAAAAUUUUUCCUUGCCGAGCCUAACCAACCUAUUUUCUAAAGAUCCGCAUGAUUCUUAAGAUAAAUAAACUUUGAUCUGUGGAGUCUGUUUCAUGAGUAAGCAUAUGGUUGUGGUUCAUUUGUGCAUAUGAUUGGUAUCUUUCAUGAGGUUUUCGAAUUCACUAUGUUCUUUAUAACUCUUGUGUGUGAAAAGCUUUUAAGCAUAUGCCAUGUUCUUGAGAGAAAAAAUUCGGAGUGCAUAUCCUUUGUGAGUUGAAUUUGAACUUGUUUGGAACGUGUCGAGCUUAAUUUCACCUUUGUUUCUGCCAUGUCUUACUUGUUACAUCGAAAUCUCAUGUUUAUUAACCAUUGAAUUCAUCUUUCAAUUUUGAUUCUUGUGCUAUUCUUGAUGCUAUGAAUUUGAAAGUCUCUGAGACAAUUUCGUUGAAGGCAUUAGAUUGAGUCAUUGUA